rnacentral:rRNA from 1 species
GCAGCAUGUUGGUUGCUUGCAACCAAUGAUGGCGACCGGCGCACGGGUGAGUAACGCGUAUCGAACCUGCCUCACACACGGGAACAGCCUUGCGAAAGUAAGAUUAAUGCCCGGUGGUCUUAUAUGAUCGCAUGAUUGUAUAAGUAAAGAUUUAUCGGUGUGAGAUGGCGAUGCGUCCCAUUAGCUUGUUGGCGGGGUAACGGCCCACCAAGGCAUCGAUGGGUAGGGGUUCUGAGAGGAAGGUCCCCCACAUUGGAACUGAGACACGGUCCAAACUCCUACGGGAGGCAGCAGUGAGGAAUAUUGGUCAAUGGACGAAAGUCUGAACCAGCCAAGUAGCGUGCAGGAAGACGGCCCUCUGGGUUGUAAACUGCUUUUAGUUGGGAAUAAAACGCGGUACGUGUACCGCCUUGUAUGUACCAUCAGAAAAAGGACCGGCUAAUUCCGUGCCAGCAGCCGCGGUAAUACGGAAGGUUCGGGCGUUAUCCGGAUUUAUUGGGUUUAAAGGGAGCGCAGGCGGACUUUUAAGUCAGCUGUGAAAUCUGGCGGCUCAACCGUCAGACUGCAGUUGAUACUGGAAGUCUUGAGUGCACACAGGGAUGCUGGAAUUCAUGGUGUAGCGGUGAAAUGCUCAGAUAUCAUGAAGAACUCCAAUCGCGAAGGCAGGCAUCCGGGGUGCAACUGACGCUGAGGCUCGAAAGUGCGGGUAUCAAACAGGAUUAGAUACCCUGGUAGUCCGCACAGUAAACGAUGAAUACUCGCGAUUUGCGAUACAAUGUAAGUCGCCAAGCGAAAGCGUUAAGUAUUCCACCUGGGGAGUACGCCGGCAACGGUGAAACUCAAAGGAAUUGACGGGGGCCCGCACAAGCGGAGGAACAUGUGGUUUAAUUCGAUGAUACGCGAGGAACCUUCCCCGGGCUUGACCUGCCAGUGACGGUAGCAGAGACGCUACUUUCUUCGGACACUGGUGGAGGUGCUGCAUGGUUGUCGUCAGCUCGUGCCGUGAGGUGUCGGCUUAAGUGCCAUAACGAGCGCAACCCUCAUUCUCGUUUGCCAUCAGGUAAAGCUGGGCACUCCGGGGAUACUGCCAUCGUAAGAUGUGAGGAAGGUGGGGAUGACGUCAAA